rnacentral:rRNA from 1 species
UACGGGGGGAGCAAGCGUUGUUCGGAUUUACUGGGCGUAAAGGGCGCGUAGGCGGCCACCGCAAGUCGACUGUGAAAUCUCCGGGCUUAACCCGGAAAGGUCAGCCGAUACUGCGGGGCUAGAGUGCAGAAGGGGCAACUGGAAUUCUCGGUGUAGCGGUGAAAUGCGUAGAUAUCGAGAGGAACACCUGCGGCGAAGGCGGGUUGCUGGGGCUGACACUGACGCUGAGGCGCGAAAGCUAGGGGAGCGAACGGG